UUCCUUCUGCAUAUCUACAACAAGCAU
rnacentral:piRNA from 1 species